rnacentral:rRNA from 1 species
UACGAAGGGGGCUAGCGUUGUUCGGAAUCACUGGGCGUAAAGGGCGGCGUAGGCGGCUUUAUAAGUCGGGGGGUGAAAGCCUGUGGCUCAACCACAGAAUUGCCUUCGAUACUGUAGAGCUUGAGACCGGAAGAGGUAAGUGGAACUGCGAGUGUAGAGGUGAAAUUCGUAGAUAUUCGCAAGAACACCAGUGGCGAAGGCGGCUUACUGGUCCGGUUCUGACGCUGAGGCGCGAAAGCGUGGGG